rnacentral:rRNA from 1 species
AGUGAACGCUGGCGGUAGGCCUAACACAUGCAAGUCGAACGGCAGCACAGUAAGAGCUUGCUCUUACGGGUGGCGAGUGGCGGACGGGUGAGGAAUACAUCGGAAUCUACUUUUUCGUGGGGGAUAACGUAGGGAAACUUACGCUAAUACCGCAUACGACCUACGGGUGAAAGCAGGGGAUCUUCGGACCUUGCGCGAUUGAAUGAGCCGAUGUCGGAUUAGCUAGUUGGCGGGGUAAAGGCCCACCAAGGCGACGAUCCGUAGCUGGUCUGAGAGGAUGAUCCGCCACACUGGAACUGAGACACGGUCCAGACUCCUACGGGAGGCAGCAGUGGGGAAUAUUGGACAAUGGGCGCAAGCCUGAUCCAGCCAUACCGCGUGAGUGAAGAAGGCCUUCGGGUUGUAAAGCCCUUUUGUUGGGAAAGAAAAGCAGCAGGUUAAUACCCCGCUGUUCUGACGGUACCCAAAGAAUAAGCACCGGCUAACUUCGUG